AACGAACGCUGGCGGCAUGCCUAACACAUGCAAGUCGAACGAAGCAUAGCAAUAUGCUUAGUGGCGGACGGGUGAGUAACGCGUGAACAAUCUGCCCUGUACAAAGGAAUAGCCUCGGGAAACCGGGAUUAAAACCGUAUGACACUUUAGUAUCGCAUGAUAAGAAAGUCAAAUCGAAUAGAGGUAUGGGAUGAGUUCGCGUCUGAUUAGCUGGUUGGCGGGGUAACGGCCACCAAGGCGACGAUCAGUAGCCGGCCUGAGAGGGUGAACGGCCACACUGGAACUGAGACACGGUCCAGACUCCUACGGGAGGCAGCAGUGGGGAAUAUUGCACAAUGGAGGGAACUCUGAUGCAGCGACGCCGCGUGAGUGAAGAAGGUCUUCGGAUCGUAAAACUCUGUCCUUGGUGAAGAAAGGACGGUAGCCAAGGAGGAAGCCCCGGCUAACUACGUG
rnacentral:rRNA from 1 species